GGAACGUGGGGAUACAGUAAUCAAAUAUUUGCGGGCCCCUAGUGGUGUGGCCUGUGAGAUUCGGCAGUUAGAGCUCAGCUUGUGUCUGUGCUGGUCCCAGACUUACAGGAGUAGUGUGAUUUGUGCUGGAGUAUCAAUCAGUGGUGGUCUAAGCAUUUUGAGGAGCCAUAGCACAUGUGGAAUCUCAUAUAGUUCCAUCAGGUGUUUUUCUAG